rfam:Bacillus wakoensis JCM 9140 DNA, contig:contig_1.
UAGUCCUUUAACUUAGUCCUGUGAGGCUUGGAAGGAAGCGGAAUGUAAUCGAGACAUAAACUUAUUUGUUUAUGCUUGACGUACGUACUUUAUCCUCUCAUGCCCAAAAUGGACAUGGGAGUUUUUCGU